AGGAUAAUAGUUUCAAGAAAAACAUUUAAAUUGCAAUUAAAAAAUAUCAAAAAGAUUUAUCUUA
rnacentral:tRNA from 1 species